UACGGGGGGUGCAAGCGUUGUUCGGAAUCAUUGGGCGUAAAGAGCGUGUAGGCGGCUGGAUAAGUCAGAUGUGAAAGCCCUGGGCUUAACCCAGGAAGUGCAUUUGAAACUAUUCAGCUGGAGUAAGGGAGAGGAAAGUGGAAUUCCUGGUGUAGAGGUGAAAUGCGUAGAUAUCAGGAGGAACACCGGCGGCGAAGGCGGCUUUCUGGCCCUAUACUGACGCUGAGACGCGAGAGCGUGGGUAGCAAACAGG
rnacentral:rRNA from 1 species